UGCCCAACUCUAGCCCAAUCUUCCACGACUAAACAUACUUAAGAAUUUAUUCAACCUUUAGACUAAACCAUUUUUUCAACUCAGUAUAGGCGAUAGAAAGGACUAUAAGGCGCGAUAGAGGCUCGUACCGUAAGGGAAAGAUGAAAUAGCAAUGAACAAGCCAAGCAACAAACAGCAAAGAUAAACCCUUGUACCUUUUGCAUCAUGGUUUAGCAAGAACAACCAAGCAAAGCGAACUUAAGCUUGCCAUCCCGAAACCCAAGCGAGCUACUUGCAGGCAGCUAUCCUUGAGCGAACCCGUCUCUGUUGCAAAAGAGUGGGACGACCUGUCAGUAGUGGUGAAAAGCCAACCGAGCUGGGUGAUAGCUGGUUGCCUGUGAAACGAAUCUAAGUUCUACCUUGACACCUCCCCCAGGGACCUUCAACUGCCCUAUUGAAGCAAUCAAGAGUAAUUUAAAGGAGGUACAGCUCCUUUAAAAAAGAAUACAAUCUCCCCUAGCGGAUAACUUCUAACCCAACAAAAGUAACUGUAGGCCUUCAAGCAGCCACCAACAAAGAGUGCGUCAAAGCUCUGUUCACUAAAAAUCCCAAAACCACACGACUCCCUUCCUACCAACAGGCUAACCUAUGACAAUAGGAGAAUUAAUGCUAAAACGAGUAACUAGGGUGCACCCCUCUUAAGCGCAAGCUUACAUUCCCUCUAUUAUUAACAGACCACUAAUGCCCUUAUUUCAACAAGACCGCGCAUUUCACCUUCUGUUAACCCAACCCAGGAGCGCCUAUUAGAAAGAUUGAAAUCUGUAAAAGGAACUAGGCAAACUUCAAGGCCCGACUGUUUACCAAAAACAUAGCCUUCAGCCAAACCAAGUAUUGAAGGUGAUGCCUGCCCAGUGACUCCACGUUCAACGGCCGCGGUAUCCUAACCGUGCAAAGGUAGCGCAAUCAAUUGUCCCAUAAAUCGAGACUUGUAUGAAGGGCUAAACGAGGUCUUAACUGUCUCUUACAGAUAAUCAGUGAAACUGAUCUCCCUGUGCAAAAGCAGGGAUAAACACAUAAGACGAGAAGACCCUGUGGAACUUUAAAAUCAGCGGCCACUCCAAGACAAAGUUAAACCUACCAGGUUCACUGCCAUAAUAAAACGCUGGCUCGCAUUUUUCGGUUGGGGCGACCUUGGAGAAAAACAAAUCCUCCAAAAAUAAGACCACCCUCUCUUAACCAAGAGCAACCCCUCAACGUACUAAAAGUAACCAGACCCAAUAUAAUUGACCAAUGGACCAAGCUACCCCAGGGAUAACAGCGCAAUCCCCUCCAAGAGCCCAUAUCGACGAGGGGGUUUACGACCUCGAUGUUGGAUCAGGACAUCCUAAUGGUGCAGCUGCUAUUAAGGGUUCGUUUGUUCAACGAUUAACAGUCCUACGUGAUCUGAGUUCAGACCGGAGUGAUCCAGGUCGGUUUCUAUCUAUGACCCACUUUUCCUAGUACGAAAGGACCGGAAAAGUGAGGCCAAUGCUCCAGAGCAUGCCUCCCUCCCUAAGUAGUGCCUCCAACUGAACUACCAAGGGACCUCCAAUACGCCCAAUCCUAGAAAAGGACC
rnacentral:rRNA from 1 species